UACGUAGGGUGCAAGCGUUAAUCGGAAUUACUAAGCGUAAAGCGUGCGCAAGCGGUCGUGCAAGACAGAUGUGAAAUCCCCGGGCUCAACCUGGGAACUGCAUUUGUGACUGCAUCGCUGGAGUGCGGCAGAGGGGGAUGGAAUUCCGCGUGUAGCAGUGAAAUGCGUAGAUAUGCGGAGGAACACCGAUGGCGAAGGCAAUCCCCUGGGCCUGCACUGACGCUCAUGCACGAAAGCGUGGGGAGCAAACAGG
rnacentral:rRNA from 1 species